rnacentral:snRNA from 1 species
AUCGCUUCUCAGCCUUUUGGCUAAGAUCACGUGUAGUACCUGUUCUCGUCAGCUUAAUAUAAUGGCCUCCCAGACACUGAUAGUCUAUUAUCUGAAUUUCCCUGUAAUGUCUGUCUAUACUUCAUUCUUUUUUUUGAAUGUUUAAUUUAU